CCUGAGGGGUAAAUUGCCCAUGCACUGCACUUGAUUCUUUUACUCAGAAAUGAACAUGGAGCAAUUUACGUGCACCAGUAAAAUGCGGCUACUCUCGGAGUCCCUUUGGGCCAUACCCCAGCCAGGGAAGUUCCCAGAGAUGGGAGCAGAGGAUUAUCUCCAGGCAGUGCUCAAGGUGAGACCUGAAAGCCCAAUCAAUCAAGGAAACUCUAAUUGGACCCAUUACCUUACCUAAGCAGACUCUCUUUUGGAAGCUCACCCUGCACCCAGAUCCUGGAGGCUGAGGUCUAGAUCGGUCGCCAAGGAUGGGAUCCAGGAGAAAACGUGCUGAACGUGCAGCUUGCUCCUACCGAUUACAGCCCAGCAGAUGACAUAGUUCCACUGUGCUCUAGUCCAUUGUGGGAAUCAUGGCCCUCAUGCCCGGCGUCUGUCACAACCCAAUUAUUUGGUGUUAUAACCCCUGCUCCCACCCCCAGCACAUCUCAGAAGUGCCGUUACCCUCUCAGUCACAUCCCAGAAACUGUGUUGCCUUCACGGUACUCUUGUUUAUGCUUGAGAGCACUCGGAGGCCUCUCCAUAUCUAAAGCCUGCAUUCAGUGCUACCCCCUGCAGGAUUUGGAUACAUUUCCCCGUCUGGUCCUAAUUCUGUUGAAUGACAUCAUUUAUCCGUAUUCCCACCCAGAGAUGGGCAGAUUUCUUGUAACCUGAAUAGAUACCAAAGAAUCCCAAAGGACCUGGGUGGGUACUUCUAUUUAUGGGCUCAUUGGAUCUUAUUCUUUCCUCUCCGCCUGUUUUAAUUCAAAUCGGGGGGACCAUUUGAUUUCUCCAAUAGAAACAGAAAGAAAUUGAAGACAGAGAUGAACACAGAUCAAGAGCCCAGGUUUCUUGAUAUUUAAUACUAAUAUACUGAUGGAGUUAAACAUUCCAAGGAAUAUAGCAUGUCUUGGUCUCUGAGAGCCAAUAUAUCUGGGUUACACUGAAAGAGGAAUAACGAGAUAAUAUUUACACUGUACAUUGAAGAUGACCUGAAAAGCUGGAAGAGCUCAGACAGACAUCAGCUGGGUGAAGCCCCAGGUUCAAACAAACUUGCCUUGGAUGUCAAAGUACUAGUAGCAAAGGAACUCCCAAUUCCUCACCUGCUGUGAAGUUUCCCAUUCACUGCAAGCAAAGUCCAGGUGAAAGCAAAGAUUCUUCACCCGCAGAAACCCUCUGGGCAGGUAACUCAUGAUGUAUUUAUUCCCAGCCACCUGAUGAAUCUGGAGAAAGGAAUAGAAAGGUUCUGCCAAAUGAUUUAAAUGAAGAAUCCUGUGGGCCCAGCCCAGCCCUCUAUGCUAACUAAUCUGAGGCCGGCAGGUGUGUGGUGUUCUGUUUAUAGCUGCCAGAUCAGCUCCUGUUGUAGGUUCUAUAUACUGGCCUCAGCUGAGCCUGUGGUAUGUGAGAUCAGUUCUGUGCGAUCCAAACAAUUGACAAAUACUGACCUGGCCCCAGCCACGUGCCCAGUCAUUGCUGGGCUGCCCAAGAAACCAACUAAGCACAUUCUGGGGCAGGGGUGGGGGGCAUUCAAGAAAGAAAUCAGAAAGCUGUAUUCAUUAUUCUAUUGACUGAGGGCUUAGUAUUAUGUCAGGCACUGAUCUUGCAACGGGGAAACAGUAGUGUCUCUUUCCCUCAUGGAACUUACAUCCGGGCAUUAUUUCAGCAUACUUGUGAGUUUUCCUUAUUUAUUAUUUAUUUAUUUACUUACUUACUUAUUGAGACAGUUCUGCUCUGUCGCCCAGGCUGGAGUACAGUGGCGCGAUCUCGGCUCACUGCAACCUCUGCCUCCCGGGUUCAAACGAUUCUCCUGCCUCAGCCUCCCAAGUAGCUGGAAUUACAGGUGCCCACCAUCACACUGGGCUAAUUUUUUAUGUUUUUAGUAGAGACGGGGGUUUCAUCAUGUUGGCCAGGCUGGUCUUGAACUCCUGACCUCCAGUGAUCCGCCUCCCUCAG